UGCAGUCGAGCGGAACGAGUUAUCUGAACCUUCGGGGGACGAUAACGGCGUCGAGCGGCGGACGGGUGAGUAAUGCCUAGGAAAUUGCCCUGAUGUGGGGGAUAACCAUUGGAAACGAUGGCUAAUACCGCAUGAUGCCUACGGGCCAAAGAGGGGGACCUUCGGGCCUCUCGCGUCAGGAUAUGCCUAGGUGGGAUUAGCUAGUUGGUGAGGUAAGGGCUCACCAAGGCGACGAUCCCUAGCUGGUCUGAGAGGAUGAUCAGCCACACUGGAACUGAGACACGGUCCAGACUCCUACGGGAGGCAGCAGUGGGGAAUAUUGCACAAUGGGCGCAAGCCUGAUGCAGCCAUGCCGCGUGUGUGAAGAAGGCCUUCGGGUUGUAAAGCACUUUCAGUCGUGAGGAAGGUAGCGUCGUUAAUAGCUGCAUUAUUUGACGUUAGCGACAGAAGAAGCACCGGCUAACUCCGUGCCAGCAGCCGCGGUAAUACGGAGGGUGCGAGCGUUAAUCGGAAUUACUGGGCGUAAAGCGCAUGCAGGUGGUUUGUUAAGUC
rnacentral:rRNA from 1 species